AUGGCUGCCGAGCUUGGGCAUCUCGCCCGAGCAGCUGCAGCAAUUCUCUGCCUGUUGAUUUUCCAUGUUGCACUGUCUGAUUCGCUUGAUCAAGCGACGGUAUCAGGUGGAACUGGAACCUGCAUCACCGGGGAGCGGGAGGCGCUUCUGUCCUUCAAGGAAGGCCUUCUCGACCCUGCUGGCCGUCUCUCGUCAUGGCAUGGCGAAGAUUGCUGUCAGUGGGAGGGAGUCCGGUGCAGCAACAAAACAGGCCAUGUCGUAAAGCUCGAUGUCCGCAACACCUACUUGCAACAGCCCUUGUAUCAGAUCUAUGCGGAUGACUACUAUGAAGUCGACUCGUCCAAAAGCCUGAGCUUGUCAAGAGAUGAGAUGAGCCCCUCCUUGGCUGCUUUACAACAGUUGAGGUAUCUUGAUCUGAGUGGGAAUGACUUCAAUAGCACCAGCAUACCUGUGUUUGUGGGCUCUCUGGAGAACCUAAGGUACCUCAACCUCUCGGGGUCAAAUUUUGGUGGGAUAAUACCUUCCCAACUUGGUAAUCUCUCAAAUUUGCAAUAUCUUGAUAUUGGUGGUGGUAUUUCUAAUGAUGUCAUCGUAGUGGAUCUUGCAUGGUUGUCACGUCUAUCAAUGUUGAGUCAUGUUGUCUUGAGAGGAGUGGGCCUCCCUGCUGUGCGGAGUUGGUUUCACGUGGUUAACAUGCUUGCUUCUCUCAAAGUGCUCCGCUUAGUAGAUUGUGGCCUUACCAACACAGUGGCUGCUACUUCAGUAUCAAUAUCAAACCUCACACAUCUUGAAGUCCUCGAUCUAUCAUUCAACUCAUUUAACACAUCACUAGAGCACAGCUGGUUUUGGGAUCUCACAAGCCUUAAGGAACUUUACCUAUCAUCUUGCUACUGGCAUGGAUCUAUUCCUGAAAAACUGGGUAACAUGACUAACCUUCAAGUCAUGGAUUUUGCUGAAAAUGAUUUUGUGGGUUUGAUACCAAGCAACUUAGAAAAUUUGUGCAAUUUGAAAGAGUUGUAUUUCAGUGAUAGCAACGUUAAUGCGAGCAUAGGGGAGUUCAUGGAUCGAUUGCCGAGGUGCUCAUGGAGUACAAUACAAGUAUUGUCAAUGGACAGAACAAAUAUGACCGGAGAACUGCCAAUCUGGAUUGGGAACAUGACCAAACUCAGUGUUCUUUCAGCCAGUCGAAACAUGAUAACUGGUACUGUACCAUUGGGAGUUGGAUCCCUUGGUAACUUGACAUCAUUGGAUCUCAGCGGCAAUAAAAUCGGUGGUGUGCUCAGGAAGGAGCAUUUUUCUGGUUUACUGAAUUUAAAGUAUCUGGACUUGUGGGGGAAGUCGUUGCACAUGGAUAUUGAACCAAAUUGGGUUCCUCCGUUUAGACUAAAGGUCCUACACUUACAGUCAUGCUCAUUGGGUCCCCGUUUUCCGGAGUGGCUUAGAUGGCAGACCGACAUUGAUUCUCUUGCUCUUCGAGAUGCAAAGUUGGAUGACGUUAUUCCUGAUUGGUUUUGGGUGACAUUUUCCCAAGCUUCAGCUUUGGAUGCAUCAGGAAACAUGUUGUGUGGUUCAUUACCGUCAAAUCUACAGCACAUGGCAGCCAUCCGUAUUGUUCUGGAGUCAAAUAAUCUUACAGGUCUAGUUCCACGGCUAUUCCCUAUAAAUAUAACAACAUUAGAUCUCUCUUCAAACUCUUUCUCAGGGUCAUUGCCAGCAGAGCUAAAAGCACCACAAAUUUUUAUGUUGUCACUGGCAGAUAAUAAAAUUACAGGCACCAUUCCAUCAUCUAUGUGCCAAUUGACUAGUGUAGCACGGUUGGACUUGUCACGAAACAAAUUAACAGGAGAUGUUGUGCAGUGCUGGAAGGAGUCAGAUAACAGUUCUUCAGUGUCCAGAGCAAACUCUGCUGAUCAGUUUGGUUCUUGGAUGUAUAGUCUAGAUUUGAGCAACAAUGGUCUCUCAGGUGAAUUCCCUAAAUUUCUUCUGAGUGCCUCACGAUUGAUGUUCCUCGAUCUUUCAUACAAUAGGUUCUUUGGAACAUUGCCAAAGUGGUUACCAGAAAAAAUGCCAGAGUUGGAAAUCCUGAGUGUGAGAUCAAACAUGUUCAGUGGUCAUAUUCCCAAGAAUGUUACCUGCCUUGAAAAUCUUUAUUAUUUGGACAUGGCCCAUAAUAAUAUGUCAGGAAGCAUAGCAUGGUUGCUAUCAAACUUGAAAGCAAUGAGAGCCAUAUAUAAGGAUGAAACUGACUAUGUUUAUAUGGAUAGCAUGCCAGUAAUCACAAAAGGCCAAACACGUGAUUAUACCUUUGACGUCUUCAGCCUAGUGGUGAAUCUUGAUCUGUCGUGUAACAGUUUAACAGGACAUAUUCCAGAGCAGAUAAGUUUGCUCAUUGGGCUCACCAGUUUGGACUUAUCAAGUAAUCAGUUGACUAGCAAAAUCCCAAACAAGAUUGGUGAUCUGAAGCAGUUGCAGUCCCUCGACUUAUCCAACAACAAGUUUUCUGGUGAAAUCCCGUCAGGUUUGUCGGCUCUAACCUAUCUGAGCUACUUGAACUUGUCAUACAACAACUUAUCAGGCCCGAUACCAUCCGGGCCGCAGCUGCAAACUCUCGGCAACCAGAUUGAUAUCUACAUCGGCAACCCCGGUCUCUGCGGUCACCCUAUCUCCAAGAACUGCUCUACCAGUACUACUGACGCAGAGCAAAGUGUCGUCCAUGAAGAUGCAGAUCAUAUCGCGUAUCUCUACCUUGGGAUGAGCAUAGGGUUUGUGGUCGGCCUUUGGACGGUGUUUUGCACCAUGUUACUGAGGAGAACCUGGGCGAUUUCCUACUUCCAGUUUGUUGACAAGCUGUAUGACGAGGUUUACGUACGGGUGGCUAUAACUCGGUCUCGCCUGAUGAAGAAGACCCGCAAAGAUGCAGCGUCAGUGGCCUGCUUCAUGUGCAGUUGA
rnacentral:rRNA from 1 species